CACCUGUUGCAGAUGUACGUAAGUGGUUGAGACUAAGUAAAGGUUAGCUUUAAGUGAAAGCACUCUUGUGUUGUCCUGUUUGUGCAGCCAUCUAUCGAUCAGACAGCUGUGUCUCCCUUGAUUUAUUUCCUGACACCACCUCACACAGAGUAAAAGUUACCAAGAACUUUGGGUUUAAAGAACCCCAGGUAAUAGGUGCUCUACUCUGGCUC